CGGGAGAGUAGAAGCGGUCGGGAUCUCUGUCCUGGGCAUUGCUCCGCAC
rnacentral:ncRNA from 1 species